rnacentral:rRNA from 1 species
GGAUCAAUUUGUUGGUCGUGCCUCUGUACGUACUGGUAUUAUUGGUUUCUCCCUUCUGACGAACCAUGAUGUCAUUAAUUUGAUGUCGUGGAGAAUCAGGACUGUUACUUUGAAAAAAUUAGAGUGUUUAAAGCAAGCAAACGCUUGAAUACAUUAGCAUGGAAUAAUGAAAUAGGACGUUCGACCCUAUCUUGUUGGUUUCUAGGAUUGACGUA